UCUAUAAAUUAUGGUUUGCGACCGUCUCUCCAAUUCCAGGCAAUUCUAGAGAGAACUGAGAAUGAUGAAGUCUUCCAAAGCAGUUAUCUCCUUUUUUUGUUAACCCUCCUGUUGUUCUCCGACAUGUCUCGAGCUGCUCGGCCGGCACCGGCUGGAGCCGAUGUGGCAAGAACUCGACCCGAGGUAGAUUGUCUCCUGUUUCCCGAAAACAAAAAACCGUGUUGCUAGGCACUUCAAGACUUCUCAUGAGUCGCACCACUACCGGCGCACUCGUAGUCUUACCCAAGUUCAUUGCCAUCCAACUCCCUCCCCUUUCCUCUCUUCCCAUCCCUGCAUAAUCUUCCGCCUCCACCGUUUCCAUCAUCCUGCCGCCAUCAACCUUUUGAGACAUCCCGAAGCUCAGCUUCUGGCGUACGCACAACUUAACAGCAGUGUUGCUGGUGUUUCGUUCCUUUAUGUGCGUCGAAGCUAAUCUAAGACCAGCUCAAGCACACAAGUCCAAGAGAGAGAUUAAGGGCCCAAGAGAGAGAAAAUUAUGCCUCAGAUUAUCAACAAGGUAUUGGUGCUACUGACCGGGAAUGUGGAAAGACCGGAAGAACUUAAACCUGGGGACCACAUCUAUACUUAUAGGCGAUAUGGCUUAUACAGCCAUCAUGUAGUUGUAUCUGCUUGAGUGAUCAUUUCAGGGUUCAUCAGAUCUCACCAUUCCAGGGCUGUUCAGGCGGCUGAUUUUAAUCACACAUGAAUUGCAAAAAGAAACAAGUCAACAAACAAAACGGGCUACAAUAGAGAUUAAACUUUGAUGGUUGAUUCUUUCGGUUAAGCAAAUAAAGAAAUAAGUUGAUGUAUG